rnacentral:rRNA from 1 species
GAUGAACGCUAGCGGCAGGCCUAAUACAUGCAAGUCGAACGGUGUCUUCGGAUAUAGUGGCGCACGGGUGCGUAACACGUAUGCAACCUACCUUACAUUGGGGGAUAGCCUUUCGAAAGGGAGAUUAAUACCGCAUAAGACAGUAGCUGGGCAUCCAGCAGCUGUUAAAGAUUUAUCGAUGUAAGCUGGGCAUGCGUCCAAUUAGCUAGUUGGUGAGGUAACGGCUCAACAAGGCAAUGAUUGGUAGGGGAACUGAGAGGUCAAUCCCCCACACUGGCACUGAGAUACGGGCCAGACUCCUACGGGAGGCAGCAGUAGGGAAUAUUGGGCAAUGGGCGCAAGUCUGACCCAGCCAUGCCGCGUGCAGGAUGAAGGCGUUAUGCGUUGUAAACUGCUUUUAUACAGGAAGAAACGACUCUUGCGAGAGGCAUUGACGGUACUGUAUGAAUAAGCACCGGCUAACUCCGUGCCAGCCGCCGCUGUAAAAC